ensembl:lncRNA
GGGCAAAGGCCGAGGGAAUGGACCCGUUGGUAUGGAGGGGAGGGGGAGCUGGACUCCCUGUCUGUCAGCAGCCUCCUGCCACCCCAGGGCUCAGUAUAGCCCCCGAGUGAUGCUGUUGGCGUGAAGGAGUGGUAUGGCCUGUGUGUCUACCAAGAGCCAUGGGGGCCAUUUCGUGUUACCUCACAGUAACUCACUUGGGCCGUGGUGAGUGAAGGUGCCAGUAACGAGGCUGGAGAUAGCCAGCGUUUCCCAACUCUUAAGGAAAAAAACGUCAUCAAGGCUGUUGUUAACGACAUUCACCCUCCUCGCCUUGCUAGUAGGGUUUCCUUCUCACACUGGCUACACUACCCCAGUGUUGUGUGCUGAAGAUGAGUCAUGCUGCAGAAAAGCCAGAUGUUCCUAUUUGACAGUGGUCAGUGCAUCUCCCUUGUGGCAGGUUGGCAAAGGAGCAGGAUCAAGAAUCAAUAAGGUGCAGAGGGAAAAAAAACUGUGACUGAAAAGAUAGAGGAGAGAGAGGAAUUAGUCACUUUCUGUAUGUAGAAAUCUUCAGAAUGGAGUAAUCUCACACAUAUUCAGCCAAACAGAGAUAAAGAGGCACAUUCUCAAAUAGAUGUCAGCGCCUUGAACCAUGCAAUUGCCACCGGACUCUGGGAGCUGCACAGGCAAAGUCCAACACACCGAGUUGAGAAAGUAAGACCAAGGGCCUGAUCCUGCACCGACUGAAGUCCAUACAUCUGAUCCUUUUCUCACUUAUACUGACUUCAAUGGAGUAUUCUCUUGGCUCAUGCCAGAGCAGACUGCGGUCCAGGAAAGCACUCGGGUGAGCAGUGGCCACUUGCUGCAGGUGUUUCUUGCCCAAGUGCUUUGCUAGACUGGGACCUCACGGAAGGAAUAACAUGGUCCAACAGGCAUGGGAUUAAAACUCUUAGAAUGUCUUGAUUUUAUUUCCUGGCUCAUUUAAGCUGUAAUGCCAAAAAAUAAUAACAACAAUCUUGAUUUUUUUAAAAAACCAGCUGCACAGCAACUGCUGCACAAGCGACUGAACUUGGCUUUCCUCUCCAUGCAGGCUGGGCUCAGCAGGACAGAACCGUGUGGCACGGCUCACCUCCCUCCACCAGAUACCUUGCUAAACCUGGUCUGUAAUUCACAACUCUCCGUUUUUCAAGAAAACCUCUAAUGCUUAGAAAUAAAAAACAAAAAGCGAGAU